CAGAGCCGACAGGGCAAUCGACGUGGCCUGGCCACUAGUCGGCCGCCACGUGGCCGAGAGCCACUAAUCGACCGGGCCUAGGCCGACUGGCCUCCUGUCGGCCAUGCCGACGCCGACAGCCUCCUGCCGGCCAUACCAGGGCCGAGACAGGCCUAUUUUUGAAAAUAUUCAAAUCGGUGCAUUAUUUUUCAAAAAGAAUAAAAAAAAUACAAUAUUAAUUUUUUUUAGCAGGAAUCAACUCUUGUAUAUAGUUGUUAAAAUCCAUUGUGCUUCUAGGCAGGGAUAAAUAAUAUUUUUAUAAGUUCUCUCUAGAAGGAUGCACACCCACCAUCCUUUUUUUUUUUUACAUUUAUCGCAAGUACGUUAUACCAGUGAACCAUUGUUAUGUACGAUGGGUACUACCAAUGUGUUUGGAAUGGCACCGUAAGUUCUUCCUUGCAUUUGAUAUAUAUCAACUAUCAUUUCUAGAACUUCCUUUCAGUUGCAGUACUAAACUUCCUAUUUUUUACAAGGUGAGAUCUAUGUUUCGUAAUAAGGUAUUUACCGCUUAAUUUUUUAGUUCUGUGUUUGAACAAUGUAGGAGUUUCCCAGCUUUAGUUCAUGUGAUCCAAUAUAUAUACUCAACACAUUUCAAAAAUUAUCACUCAAAAAAUAUAAAUUGUCCUUCAU
rnacentral:lncRNA from 1 species